AUACGGAGGAUGCGAGCGUUAUCCGGAUUUAUUGGGUUUAAAGGGUGCGUAGGCUGUGCGUUAAGUCAGGGGUGAAAUGCCGUCGCUCAACGACGGAGCUGCCCUUGAUACUGGCGUGCUGGAGUACGGAUGCCGUUGGAGGAAUGAGUGGUGUAGCGGUGAAAUGCUUAGAUAUCACUCAGAACACCGAUUGCGAAGGCAUCUGACGAAUCCGUCACUGACGCUGAGGCACGAAAGCGUGGGGAUAGAACAGGAUUAGAUACCCUGGUAUUCCAUGCCGUAAACGAUGAUGACUAACCGUCGGCGAUAGACAGCCGGUGGCCAAGCGAAAGCGAUAAGUCAUCCACCUGGGGAGUACGUCGGCAACGAUGAAACUUAAAGGAAUUGACGGGG
rnacentral:rRNA from 1 species